AUUGAACGCUGGCGGCAUGCCUUACACAUGCAAGUCGAACGGCAGCACGGGAGCAAUCCUGGUGGCGAGUGGCGAACGGGUGAGUAAUAUAUCGGAACGUACCUUUCAGUGGGGGAUAACGUAGCGAAAGUUACGCUAAUACCGCAUAUUCUGUGAGCAGGAAAGCAGGGGAUCUUAGGACCUUGCGCUGAUUGAGCGGCCGAUAUCAGAUUAGCUAGUUGGUGAGGUAAAGGCUCACCAAGGCGACGAUCUGUAGCGGGUCUGAGAGGAUGAUCCGCCACACUGGAACUGAGACACGGUCCAGACUCCUACGGGAGGCAGCAGUGGGGAAUUUUGGACAAUGGGGGCAACCCUGAUCCAGCCAUGCCGCGUGAGUGAAGAAGGCCUCGG
rnacentral:rRNA from 1 species